AUACUUUCCUGGCAUAGGGGUUACCGUCAUCAGCAAGGCGGUUCCCCCAGGGCGAGGCUCUUCCAUUGCAUGUUACAUUUCUCUUCGUGUCUUUUACAAUUAGCUUCUCUAUUUGAAUAUUGUGCGUUUUGAAGUAUAAUGAAAAUGAUAAUAUUCCAAGAAAAACGUUUUCAAUUCAUA
rnacentral:snRNA from 1 species